GGCAGUAAUGCUCAUUUCCUGGAACAGAUGGUUCGUGGCCCUUGAAGCGCUGCGAUCUGUAAAGCUAGUUCUCUGCAAGAUUAAGGUUUCCACCCACCUCCCUGAAAUCUGAUUUGGACCCCCAGGAGGCCAGAAGAGUAUAAAAACGCAAAAGAUGUUGACUUCUGAGUCCCACAUACCCGGCGUCAGCUGGUGAAUGAAAGACACGAAGGAGCUGCUGUGGAGCUGCUGUCUCCCCUCGGAGUUUGGCAGGCCCGGGAUUCCGCAAAGGAGUUGGCGGGGCCAGAUGCCUCCAGCCCUGAGCUCAGUACAUUCGGUGUCCUGGAUGCUCCCUUCCUUUCCUUAUCACUGCGAGCUCUCCUGGGACGGCCUAGAUUUCCACUGGGACCUACUUUCGGCUCCCUGCGUGCUUCAUUGCUGAAACUGCCGGCGAAAAGAUCUCUUUCUCAAGCCUCAGAGCACCUUGAGGCGGGGCGCAGAGUCGCCCGCUCUGGAUCCCGCGCCAGAGACCCAGGAGGAUCCGCAGGAGCCCUCGGGAGAGCAGGAGGCUGCAUAGGGUCUCAACGUACUCCCGUCCCCGCAGCCUCCCUCGCAACUCGCCCCUCGCUCGGUAGGCAGACAACUCCAGCCGGACAGGUCCGUCCGAGGAGACCUUUCAGAGUGUCAGCCUACUGCUGACCUCGGAGCCACCAACCAAAGUUCCAAGACUGCUGGCUGCAGAUUGCAUGCUCUUGGGGCAGACGCCCUAAGAAUGUGUCCACCGAGUCCAAUGUGUCUUUGGAGUCCUGAGCCCUGAGAUUUCCGCUAAGACCUUCCAUUGGACGAUCUCUUGUAACAGAUGUUGUUACAGUAACACGUGAGUUCGCUCAAAUGCGAUGGAAGUUUUGCCUUUCGAUCAUUUUGUGCCUUUGUCUUUCCCCUUCUCAAUAAAAUCGUACACAAAUGUG
rnacentral:lncRNA from 1 species